rnacentral:rRNA from 1 species
AUUGAACGCUGGCGGCAGGCCUAACACAUGCAAGUCGAACGAGUGGCGGACGGGUGAGUCAUGUCUGGAAAACUGCCUGACGGAGGGGGAUAACUACUGGAAACGGUAGAUAAUACCGCAUACCAUCAGAUGUGCCCAGAUGGGUUGAGCUUGUUGGUGGGGUAACGGCUCACCAAGGCGACGAUCCCUAGCUGGGAUGAGAGGAGGACCAGCUGCACUCGAACUGAGACACGGUCCAGACUCCUACGGUAGGCAGCAGAGGGGAAUAUUGGACAUUGGGCGCGAGCCUGAUGCAGCCAUGCCGCGUGUAUGAAGAAGGCGUUAGGGUUGUAAAGUACUUUCAGCGGGGAGGCGUUACCCGCAGAAGAAGCACCGGCUAACUCCGUGCCAGCAGCCGCGGUAAUAC